GUCCGAGCGGAAACGAUCCUAGCUUGCUAGGAGGCGUCGAGCGGCGGACGGGUGAGUAACGCGUGAGAAUCUGCCCAUUUGUGGGGGAUAACUCGGGGAAACUCGAGCUAAUACCGCAUAAUCCCUACGGGGGAAAGCAGGGGACCUUCGGGCCUUGUGCAGAUGGAUGAGCUCGCGUCGGAUUAGCUUGUUGGUGAGGUAAAGGCUCACCAAGGCGACGAUCCGUAGCUGGUCUGAGAGGAUGAUCAGCCACACCGGGACUGAGACACGGCCCGGACUCCUACGGGAGGCAGCAGUGGGGAAUCUUGGACAAUGGGGGCAACCCUGAUCCAGCCAUGCCGCGUGUGUGAAGAAGGCCUUCGGGUUGUAAAGCACUUUCAGUAGGGAGGAAGGCUUACCGUUAAUAGCGGUGAGUACUUGACGUUACCUACAGAAGAAGCACCGGCUAAUUUCGUGCCAGCAGCCGCGGUAAUACGAAAGGUGCGAGCGUUAAUCGGAAUUACUGGGCGUAAAGCGCGCGUAGGCGGUUUGUUAAGUCAGAUGUGAAAGCCCCGGGCUCAACCUGGGAAUUGCAUUUGAAACUGGCAGGCUAGAAUGCAGUAGAGGGAGGUGGAAUUUCCGGUGUAGCGGUGAAAUGCGUAGAGAUCGGAAGGAACACCAGUGGCGAAGGCGGCCUCCUGGACUGACAUUGACGCUGACGUGCGAAAGCGUGGGGAGCAAACAGGAUUAGAUACCCUGGUAGUCCACGCCGUAAACGAUGUCUACUAGUCGUUGGGAAUCUUAGUAUUCUUGCUGACCAAGUUAACGCGAUAAGUAGACCGCC
rnacentral:rRNA from 1 species